rnacentral:rRNA from 1 species
UACGGAGGGGGCUAGCGUUGUUCGGAAUUACUGGGCGUAAAGCGCGCGUAGGCGGACCUGCAAGUCGGGGGUGAAAGCCCGAGGCUCAACCUCGGAACUGCCUUCGAUACUGCGGGUCUCGAGUCCGGGAGAGGUGAGUGGAAUUCCUAGUGUAGAGGUGAAAUUCGUAGAUAUUAGGAAGAACACCAGUGGCGAAGGCGGCUCACUGGCCCGGUACUGACGCUGCGGCGCGAAAGCGUGGGGAGCAAACAGG